rnacentral:rRNA from 1 species
GACGAACGCUGGCGGCGUGCCUAAUACAUGCAAGUCGAACGCUUCUUUCCUCCCGAGUGCUUGCCCUCAAUUGGAAAGAGGAGUGGCGGACGGGUGAGUAACACGUGGGUAACCUACCCAUCAGAGGGGGAUAACACUUGGAAACAGGUGCUAAUACCGCAUAACAGUUUAUGCCGCAUGGCAUAAGAGUGCAAGGCGCUUUCGGGUGUCGCUGAUGGAUGGACCCGCGGUGCAUUAGCUAGUUGGUGAGGUAACGGCUCACCAAGGCCACGAUGCAUAGCCGACCUGAGAGGGUGAUCGGCCACACUGGGACUGAGACACGGCCCAGACUCCUACGGGAGGCAGCAGUAGGGAAUCUUCGGCAAUGGACGAAAGUCUGACCGAGCAACGCCGCGUGAGUGAAGAAGGUGUUCGGAUCGUAAAACUCUGUUGUUAGAGAAGAACAAGGACGUUAGUAACUGAACGUCCCCUGACGGUAUCUAACCAGAAAGCCACGGCUAACUACGUG